UACGUAGGGGGCAAGCGUUGUCCGGAAUCACUGGGCGUAAAGCGCGCGCAGGCGGUCAUCUACGUCUGGGGUGAAAGCCCGGAGCUCAACUCCGGGAUUGCCUUGGAUACGGGAUGACUUGAGGAUCGGAGAGGCAAGGGGAAUUCCACGUGUAGCGGUGAAAUGCGUAGAGAUGUGGAGGAACACCUGUGGCGAAGGCGCCUUGCUGGCCGAUUUCUGACGCUGAGGCGCGAAAGCGUGGGAGCAAACAGG
rnacentral:rRNA from 1 species